rnacentral:rRNA from 1 species
UACGUAGGGGGCAAGCGUUGUCCGGAUUUAUUGGGCGUAAAGCGCACGCAGGCGGUCUGCCAAGUUCGGAGUGACAGUUUCCGGCUUAACCGGAAAAGGUCUUCGAAAACUGGUGGACUUGAGGACUUGAGGGGGAGACGGAAUUCCGGGUGGAGCGGUGAAAUGCGUAGAGAUCGGGAAGAACACCAGUGGCGAAAGCGCUCUGCUGGACUGCAACUGACACUGAGGGACGAAAGCUAGGGGAGCGAAAGGG